rnacentral:rRNA from 1 species
UGAAUACGAGAUGCUACGGCGUCGAAGCAGUCUAUGUCAUACUUCCAAGAAAAGCUCGCACUGUCAUAAACAAAUAAUGCCUGUACCAUAACCGACACAGGUGGGUAGGUAGAGUAUACUAAGGGGCGCGAGAUAACUCUCUCUAAGGAACUCGGCAAAAUGACUCCGUAACUUCGGGAGAAGGAGUGCCUUAUUUAUAAGGUUGCAAUAACAAGAUCCAAGCAACUGUUUAUCAAAAACACAGGUCUCCGCUAAGUCGUAAGACGAUGUAUGGGGGCUGACGCCUGCCCAGUGCCAGAAGGUUAAAGAGGUUGGUUAGCAUUCGCGAAGCUGAUAACUGAAGCCCUGGUGAACGGCGGCCGUAACGAUAACGGUCCUAAGGUAGCGAAAUUCCUUGUCGGGUAAGUUCCGACCCGCACGAAAGGCGUAAUGAUUUGGAUACUGUCUCGGAGAGGGGCUCGGUGAAAUAGACUUGUCUGUGAAGAUGCGGACUACCUGCACCAGGACAGAAAGACCCUAUGAAGCUUUACUGUAACUUGAGAUUGAAAUUGGACUUUACUUGCGCAGUAUAGGUGGGAGGCGUUGAUAAUAUUCUUGCGGGAUUAUUUGAGCCAUCAGUGAGAUACCACUCUUGUAAUGUUAGAUUUCUAACUUUGUAUCAUUAUCUGGUCAAAGGACAGUUUCAGGCGGGCAGUUUGACUGGGGCGGUCGCCUCCUAAACGGUAACGGAGGCGCACAAAGGUUUCCUCUGAACGGGUAGAAAUCGUAUCUAGAGUGUAAAGGCAUAAGGAAGCUUGACUGUGAGACCUACAAGUCGAGCAGGGACGAAAGUCGGUCUUAGUGAUCUGACGGUGCUGAGUGGAAAGGCCGUCACUCAACGGAUAAAAGUUACUCUAAGGAUAACAGGCUGAUCUCCCCCAAGAGUUCACAUCGACGGGGAGGUUUGGCACCUCGAUGUCGGCUCAUCGCAUCCUGGGGCGGUAGUACGUCCCAAGGGUUGGGCUGUUCGCCCAUGAAAGCGGUACGCGAGCUGGGUUCAGAACGUCGUGAGACAGUUCGGUCCAUAUCCGGUGUAGGCGUUAGAAUAUUGAGAGGAGCCUUCUUUAGUACGAGAGGACCGAGAAGGACAUACCUCUGGUGUACCAGUUAUCGUGCCAACGGUAAACGCUGGGUAGCUAUGUAUGGAGUGGAGAACCGCUGAAAGCAUCUAAGUGGGAAGCCCACCUCAAGAUAAGUAUUCUC